UUAAGUUCAGCGGGUAGUCCUACCUGAUUUGAGGUCAAAUAUUCAAAAGUUGUCCAUAGAUAGACAAUUAGAAGCUGAACACUGAGAGAGCAGCCUUCGUCUGUGGCGUAGAUAAUUAUCACACCGGUGACUGACCGCAAACGGUUCCGCUAAUGCAUUUCAGGGGAGCCGACCUCAAUGGCAGAGGCCCGCAGGUAUAC
rnacentral:misc_RNA from 1 species